UCCGGUUUGUCACCGGCAGUCUCGCAUGAGUCCCCAACUAAAUGCUGGCAACAUGCGACGGGGGUUGCGCUCGUUGCGGGACUUAACCCAACAUCUCACGACACGAGCUGACGACAGCCAUGCACCACCUGUGCAGGGCCCUUGCGGACACCGCAUCUCUGCGGCUUUUCCCUGCAUGUCAAGGCCAGGUAAGGUUCUUCGCGUUGCAUCGAAUUAAACCACAUACUCCACCGCUUGUGCGGGCCCCCGUCAAUUCCUUUGAGUUUCAGUCUUGCGACCGUACUCCCCAGGCGGGGCACUUAAUGCGUUAGCUACGGCACGGAACCCGUUGAUAAGGCCCCACACCUAGUGCCCAACGUUUACGGCGUGGACUAC
rnacentral:misc_RNA from 1 species